rfam:Schistosoma haematobium scaffold663_16, whole genome shotgun sequence.
AUCCAGUUGAUGAGCCCUAAAUAGGACGAAACGCGUGUCCUGGAU